rnacentral:rRNA from 1 species
CCUACGGGUGGGCUGCAGUGGGGAAUAUUGGACAAUGGGCGAAAGCCUGAUCCAGCCAUGCCGCGUGUGUGAAGAAGGCCUUCGGGUUGUAAAGCACUUUCAGUGGGGAAGAAAGCCUUGGGGCUAAUACCCUCGAGGAAGGACAUCACCCACAGAAGAAGCACCGGCUAACUCCGUGCCAGCAGCCGCGGUAAUACGGAGGGUGCGAGCGUUAAUCGGAAUUACUGGGCGUAAAGCGCGCGUAGGCGGUCUGAUAAGCCGGUUGUGAAAGCCCCGGGCUCAACCUGGGAACGGCAUCCGGAACUGUCAGGCUAGAGUGCAGGAGAGGAAGGUAGAAUUCCCGGUGUAGCGGUGAAAUGCGUAGAGAUCGGGAGGAAUACCAGUGGCGAAGGCGGCCUUCUGGACUGACACUGACGCUGAGGUGCGAAAGCGUGGGUAGCAAACAGGAUUAGAUACCCGAGUAGUC